rnacentral:misc_RNA from 1 species
CAGGUAGACGUACGAGUCAGUCAGUCGUUCGAAGUAGUACGAGUUAGUCGUUCGAGUAGUACGAAUCAGUCAGUCGUUCGAGUCAGAAGUCAGUUCAAGCCACUCAAGUCACACAGUCGGAGUCAAGCAGUCGACGUCUCCUCAUUCAGUCGUUCGGUUGAUCCUGUUGAUUCGAUUCAGUCAAAGUCGGAUCUGAUCAAUCGCCACAUCUACUACGACCCACGAGCCUUCCUCUCUCAGAUUGGCAGUCAGAAUCUGAGCAAGGUCCAGGCAAUCUUCAUACUCAACGACGUUACUAUUGUAUGGAACCUAACGGAAGAACCGAAGAUUCUAUUACAAUCGUAUGUAUAUUAUGCAAAACCGCAAUAUUGUUGCAAACAAGUUGAAAAACUGUAAUGGACACAUAACUCUUAACAACAGAAGAAACAGCAUUUUUGAAAAUGCACAAUUUUAAAC